rnacentral:snRNA from 1 species
GCUUUGCGGCAAAACAUAUACUAAAACUGGAAUGAUAUAGAGAUUAGCAUGGCCUCUGCACAAGGAUGACAUGCAAAUUCAUGAAGCGUUCCAUAUUUUU